AUAUUUCAUUUUUUAAAAAAAAUUCAUAAAUUAUGUAAAUACAUGUUGGUUCGAGGGACUUUUGUCAUUGGAAAUACUAAUUAUUGUUAGCUGCUAGUUAUACCAAAACUAGUAGCAAUGAAAUAGGAGUGUAAGGUAGGAGUUAAUUGAUUAUUACACAUGUUAAUUUAGUUAUUUGUUUCAUUUGCUUGUGCAAAUAAUGUAAUUUUGUAUAGUAAGUAUGUAAGUGUCCAUUGGAUGUAUAUAAUUUAUCAAUUUAAAAAAAAAAUAUUGUUAGCUGUAGUUUAAUUCCUCCAAAUAAUUUCUUGCUUCUUUGGCAACAGACAAACUCUGGAAUUAAUAUGACUCUCUUUAUGUUCAGGAGUCAUCAUAGCUGUGAAUUUACAAGAGAACAGAGUUUCCAUUUCAUUAAAACAAUCAAGAUUGCCCGAUGAACAUAAACACUUGCGCCUGGGUGUCAUCGAAGAUCCAGAUACAGUUUUCAAGCGGUUACAGAGUAAUCCAGAGGGACUUAGUUUUGAAGAACAUCUAACCAAGCAUAAAGGUUUUAACAACCCAAGGAGUAUUGAUACCCUUACAGACCUGCUUGGUGUGGACACUUCUGCUCCAUGUUCAUUGUUGAGAAGCUUCCAAAGGUAUGAAUGUCCUGAAAGUGAAUAUGCAGAGCCAUUAAGGAGACAACAGUCUGCCAAAUGGUCAAUGGAGACGUAAGAAAGAGCUUCAAUAAAUAUUAAACCAGGUUUUUGAUGCCGCCAUCUUGGAUUGUAAUUAGAUGCUUGAUUGGUAGAGGGUUGGUGCAGAGGCAGGGUGGGGGUGGGGCACUUAUUUUUCCUUCCCUCCCCCUCCCCCCUUGGCAAAUUUUUCCUUGCCCCAAUCCUCCACAGUUACCAAAUCCAACAUGGUGGCCUAAUACGAAAAUGUGCACUCGUGUGCCCAAAAUACACCUGUACUGCAUGUUAGUUAUGCUGCCAUCAAAUAGUGUGAAAUGGAAGAUUAUUGAAACUAAGUUUAAAAGCUUUGUAAGUCACUUAUUUUCUUGUGGAAGGUCAACAAAAAGUUUGACAUUAAACAGAGUAUUUCAAAUAUAACUAACAUGUUACCUUCUCUCAGGCAGGAAUGUGGAGGAAUAUUUGACCCCUAACAUGGUCUAAAAACUUUUAAUCUUUUAGAUCAUUCUCAGGGUCAAAUACGACAAAUACUUUACAUCUGAUA